UUUUUUUUUUUUUUUCUUUUGCAGAGGCACAGUGACUUUCUAUAUAGAUUUCAGUUACUUUUUGGUGAAAAGAAUUUAAACUCAUUUUCUACAUGAUUGGUUAAAGUAUAAGGAUUUGUACUCCAUAUUUUUGAGAUCUUAGCCUCCAGCCUUCAGCUGCCAAACGUCUAUGAAAAGCUUUGUUAUGAGAAAUAUAUAUGAAACUUUGCCCGAAAAGUGUGUAGUUCAUUCAUUACUUUAGAAAUUCUAAUAGUGAUAAUAAUAAUAGUUAGAAAUUGUUAAGUAUUUACUAUAUGCCAGUUACUGAGUCUAGCCCUUAUGUGCUUUAUUUCUUUUAAUCCUCGCAACUGGUGUUUCACCAACUUUGCAUGCAUCAAAUCACAAGAGGGCUUGUUAAAACACAAAUUGCUUUGCCCCAUCCUUAGGGUUUCUGAUUUAGUAGCUGCCUGAGAGUGCAUGUCUAAUAAAUUUCUAGGUGAUGCUGAUGCUGCUGGUCUGAGAAGUACUGUUUACUACAAACCCAGGAGGUAAGCAUUUUAAUCUGUAUUUUGCAGAUGAAGAAACAGGUUAAGGUUGUAUCACUUACUGAACACACAGCUAAUAAGAUGGUAGAGUUGAGAUUUGAAAAUUUGCUUCUUUGAUUCCAAAGUCUAUAGUCAAUUUCUGUGCUAGGUGGUUUUGCAAUAAAACAUUCUGGGCAGAAUAGUAAUAGUAACAUUUUAUAGCUUAGGAAUAGAGUAGGACUCUAUUACUCCUAACACUGGGCUCCAAAUAUAUUAAAGCAUAUAGAUGUCAUGAGAUGGUACCAAUCAAUGCCAGAGUGUGGGAUAAAGUAACACAGCCCUUAAAAGGGACUUUAUCAUGAAGGUAGAAAUAGGCAGGUGAGCAGCUCCCUGACACCAAGGGGAGCUAUGGGACAAAGGGGAGCCUUGGUGCCGGGACUGCAAAGUGUCCAGCAGUGGAAUUUAUCUUCACCACACAAUCUGGUGAGGGCUUUCUCCUGGGAGAAUUGGCUCUGUGUGUGUAAAUUUAAAGAGCCCUUGCCCUUAAGAGAGCUGUGCUUUCUGGGAAGUCUGCAAUUGAGCGUUAAUAGGGAAGAAAUGGCUCUCAUGCCACAGAGCUCUGACUUUCUGUUUGAGGCAGCAGCGAGCCAAGCACUGUGGGCUAUAGGUAGCAUUGAAGAAGGGGGCGGGUUAGAAGUCAGCAAGAAGCACGUCUGGGUAACAUACUUGUCAUCGCGUGGUUGCCUAGGCAGUGGGCCCCUGUUGUAUCAGUGAGGAAAACUCUUGACAUGUAACUGAGGUAAGAUUUUGAAUCUUGAUGAGCAACCUUAUUGCCUCCAGUUAAACUAUAUGAAUUAAAACAGCAUUCCAUACCCACUUCUGUAGAAUGCUCUAUCAGAUGCCAGUGGUGACCUUCCAAUUUUACCAACUAAACCUGAUUCACUGGCAGUGACCGCAGAAAGUUUUUGAGGCAAUUAGGUUAGGAGUAUGAGCUGGGAUAGAAGGCCCCUCUUUACUAGCAGCUAGAAAGAAGAGGAUUGACUUGAGGAUGUGUCUCUGGAGAUUCUAAAACAUACGCAGGGGAGGGGAAUCCUCCACUUGCUGAUGAUCUGACAGGCCAAGCCUCAGCGACAUUGUGUUUCCGGGCGUCA
rnacentral:lncRNA from 1 species